rnacentral:tRNA from 1 species
GCCCUCGUAGCUCAGGUGGAUAGAGCACAGGUUUCCUAAACCUGGUGUCGGCGGUUCGAGUCCGUCCGGGGGCGCCA